UUUGAUUCAAAGCAUCAUCCAAAAUGGCUGACUUCUGCUUAUGUGAAGAGACCAGGUGGCCCAGAAGGAGUACUGGGGGUGCUGAGAUCCUUUGCCCAUGAUUCCAUUUACACAGCAUGUGGCCUUUUGUUUCUAGCUUCUUUUCACUUUGCGUAAGAUUUUGAAGGUGACCAACCAGCUCAGUUUGAACCCUCAUAGCAGACCUCCCAGGAAAACCUUCAAUCCUGGACAAGAAAUAACAAUUGGCCCACCUAUUUGUAACCUGGUCACCUAUUGCUUAUCCUUCAGGUCUCAGUUUAAAUGUCCUCUAAGGUCUCGUUAUUCAGUGUGAUUGUUGUACUAAUACUCCAAAUCUUCUUGACUAAUUACAGUUUAAUACAACUCCUAGGUAACGUGGAUGAACAAUGAAGGUUACAUAAAUUCAAGGAAUUUUUACUUCUCUGACCAGAUCAUACACCACUCUCUUUCCCAAUAGACUACAAAUUCAUGAGGGUGAGGCCUGUGUCUCUUAUUUUUUAAUAUUUUGAACCCUGAGUAUAGUAUUAGAUCAAAUUUAAAGGCUUAAAAAUCUUUCAUGCAUGAAGACAUGAAACACCUAGAAUAUAUGAGUAAAAACAGACUGUAGCAGGUGCAGUUGAGAGCCCACACAUAUAGCCCUGUCAUUCAUCUGAAUUCACCUGACACAUCUCAAGACAUUCUCAGCUUUCCUUCUCA
rnacentral:lncRNA from 1 species